rnacentral:rRNA from 1 species
UGCGGAAUUUUGGACAAUGGGCGAAAGCCUGAUCCAGCAAUGCCGCGUGUGUGAAGAAGGCCUUCGGGUUGUAAAGCACUUUUGUCCGGAAAGAAAUCCUUGGCUCUAAUACAGUCGGGGGAUGACGGUACCGGAAGAAUAAGCACCGGCUAACUACGUGCCAGCAGCCGCGGUAAUACGUAGGUGGCAAGCGUUGUCCGGAUUUACUGGGCGUAAAGGAUGCGUAGGCGGAUUUUUAAGUGAGAUGUGAAAACCCUAAGCUUAACUUGGGGACUGCAUUUCAUACUGGAAAUCUAGAGUGCGGGAGAGGAGAAUGGAAUUCCUAGUGUAGCGGUGAAAUGCGUAGAGAUGUGGAGGAAUACCGAUGGCGAAGGCAGCCCCCUGGGCCAAUACUGACGCUCAUGCACGAAAGCGUGGGGAGCAAACAGGAUUAGAUACCCUGGUAGUCCACGCCCUAAACGAUGUCAACUAGUUGUUGGGGAUUCAUUUCCUUAGUAACGUAGCUAACGCGUGAAGUUGACCGCCUGGGGAGUACGGUCGCAAGAUUAAAACUCAAAUGAAUUGACGGGGUCAUAGCUG